rnacentral:misc_RNA from 1 species
GGAGGGAUCAUUAAAUGAAAAAAAAACAACAAGCUAGUGAUAGUCCGUACCAACCGCCAGGUCGUUUCGAUCGGUCGGUUGGUGGAUCUUUGGAGUAUUGUAGGUGCAGGUUGGCUUCUGGUCAAAAGCAUCCUACGAUAUUUGGAAGAUUAUUUGGCUUCUAACCAAAAAAAUAUGGCACUUACCCAAUGAUUCUGGAUUUUUACGGUCCGGGUCCGGGUUUUUGUCGAACACUUGUCAGCGGGGGAUAUCUCGGUUCCCAUAACGAUGAAGAGCGCAGUGAACUGCGAUAAACAAUGUGAAUUGCAGAACUACGUGAAUCAUCUAGGUCUUGAACGCAUCUUGCACCCCACCGCAAGGUUGGGGUAGGACAAGUUGAGCGCCAUACCAUUAAAUCACUGGCAUUUUACCAGUGCUAUUGGGUCUGGGAUUUCACCAGUCCUUAAAUUACAACCCUAUUGGGAAAACAUUGUAACCAAAGUCUGUGAUCGACAAAACGUUCGGUGUUUUACCACAAGGGAAGAUGAUAAUAUGUCUGAUGACAUAUGAUUUUUGUCGAAUUUUUUUUCGACUACAUGGCCUCAGUCUAGUCCAGGCUACCCACUGAACUUAAGCAUAUCAUUAUGUGGAGGAAAAGAAACCAACUGGGAUUCCCUUAGUAAGGGCGACUGAACAGGGAGCAGCUCAAACCUAAAAUCGACCGGGGGUAACACUUCGGCUCGAAUUGUAGUUUAACGAGUGGAUUCCAGGUACGGCCCCCGUCUAAGUUCUCUGGAACGGGAUGCCAUAGAAGGUAACAGCCCUGUGAGGCGGGUGUUGACCGUACCGUAUGUUUCCACUUCGAGGAGUCGGGCUAUUUGAGAGCAUAGCCCAAAGCGGGUGGUAAGCUCCAUCCAAAGCUAAAUAUUAGUGGGAGACCGAUAGCGAACAAGUACCGCGAGGGAAAGAUGAAAACAACUCUGGAAAGAGAGUUAAAAGUAGUUGAAACCGCUGACAACGAAGCGGAUGUCCCUUCCGGCCGCUGCGAGCUUGAAUCAAUAAAAUUCUCACACGGUAAUCUGUCAUACGUGGGCAACUGCGGUGGUGGAUCAUUAGGGUGAGGUUUUGUGCACUUCAGUUCGCUGAUGCAACAUCUUUGUAUGGGCGAAUUGGGAGGAUAUGGGAGGUAACCAUCUUUUUGGUGGUGAAUACUGUGUUCACGACCCUAACAGCCUAUACACUGCCGGUCUAAUGGACCAAUCCUAUCUCUGCGAGGGACUGCUUUUUCGGUGGAAGUCCCGUGCUAUCCGGUAGCGGGUGGUACGGGGCCAUAUCGGGUGGGCAGUCUACUAUGGAUGGGAGAAUGUUGCAAGGGGGGUGCAUCUGUCCCGUCUUGAAACACGGACCAAGGAGUGUAGAUUGUAUGCAAGCCUAAGGGACAUGAAAUCCUGGAGGCGAAGCGAAAGCAAUUUGUGUGAAGUGGUAAAACACUGCAACACGACCCGAUCAUAACACAUCGUGGGAUGUAUCGAGGUAGAGUGUACAGUCUACGACCCGAAAGACCGCGAACUUUACCUGCACAGGGUGAAGCCAGAAGAAAUUCUGGUGGAGGCCCGUAGCGGUUCUGACGUGCAAAUCGAUCGUCAAAUGUGGGUAAAGCGGCGAAAGACUAAUCGAGCGGUCUAGUAGCUGGUUCCUUC